UGAGGAAUUUUCCGCAAUGGACGCAAGUCUGACGGAGCAACGCCGCGUGCAGGAGGACGCUUUUCGGAGUGUAAACUGCUUUUCUCUGGGACAAGAGUGGACGGUACCAGAGGAAGAAGCCCCGGCUAACUACGUGCCAGCAGCCGCGGUAAUACGUAGGGGGCGAGCGUUGUCCGGAGUUACUGGGCGUAAAGCGCACGCAGGCGGUCGAGUAAGUUUGGGGUGACAGCUCCCGGCUCAACUGGGAGAGCGCCUUGAAGACUGCGCGACUGGAGGGCCACAGAGGGACACGGAAUUCCGGGUGGAGCGGUGAAAUGCGUAGAGAUCCGGAGGAACACCAACGGCGAAGGCAGUGUCCUGGGUGGUACCUGACGCUCAGGUGCGAAAGCUAGGGGAGCGAAC
rnacentral:rRNA from 1 species